CACGUCUAAAGCUUCACUCACACUACUCUUUCUGGGGCAGUUCCCUGGUGUCUCUAAAAUAAAUUGUAAUUGAUACGCUUGGAGUGGAGACUGGGUGAGCAUCUAACGUAGCAGGGAAGUGAGUUCCACAGGAACGGCGCAGCCCCUGAGAAGGCGAGCAUCAGAGGUGGGAAUAUGGACAGAAAAUAGUCUUCAGCAGAGCGUAAGGGCCUAGAUGGGACAUACUUGUGUAUUAGGGCAGAUAGAUGGGUGGGAUCAGCAUUAUAUAGAGAUUUGAAAGCAAGAAACAGAAUUUUAAAUUGAGCCCUAUAUCUUACAGGAAGCGAAUGUAGGGACUAACAGAACGGUGAGGGGUGGGCAGUGCGGGCGGACAGGAAGAGGAGCCUCGCUGCCGCAUUCAUUAUGGACUGUAACAGCGCAAGUUGGGAGCAUGUAAGACCACUGAGAAGAGGAUUAUAGUAGUCAAGUCGAGAAAGGACAGUGGAAUGGACCAGCAGCUUAGU